rnacentral:rRNA from 1 species
UUAGCGAUAGCUGGUUAUUCAAGAAAAGAAUUUUAGUUCUACCUAAAAAGCUUCUAUAACUAUAAAUAAAUACCUCACUUUUUAGAGCAAUUCAAAUAGGGUACAGCCUAUUUGAAACAGGAAACAACCUAAAACAACGGGUAACUAUUUUUUUAGCAAUAUAAUAGGCCUAAAAGCAGCCAUUAAUAUAAAAGCGUCAAAGCUUCACUGCCCACAACUACAAUAUCACUAAUUACACCAAACCCUUACUCAGUAUUGAAUACUUCAAUAUUUCUAUUGAACUUUUUAUGUUAAAACAAGUAGCAAGAAAUUAACCUUCUCAUAAUGUAAACAUAAAUCAGACUGCACCCCGCACUGAUAAAUAACGACUCUAAUCCCAAAGCAACAACUUCAAUAAAAAAAUAUUUCUUCAUCCUCCGUUAACCUGACACAAGAACAUUACAAGAAAGAUAACAAGAAGAAAAAGGAACUCGGCAAACACUAAUUUCGCCUGUUUACCAAAAACAUCGCCUCUUGCAUAAAAUAAGAGGUCCAGCCUGCCCAGUGAAUAUUUAACGGCCGCGGUAUCUUAACCGUGCAAAGGUAGCACAAUCACUUGUUUUUUAAAUAAAGACUAGUAUGAAUGGCAUCACGAAAAUUAAACUGUCUCUUUCUUCCAAUCAGCGAAACUAUUCUUCCCGUGAAGAGACGGGAAUAUUACCAUAAGACGAGAAGACC